rnacentral:rRNA from 1 species
UACGGGGGGAGCAAGCGUUGUUCGGAUUUACGUGGCGUAAAGGGCGCGUAGGCGGCCACCGCAAGUCGACUGUGAAAUCUCCGGGCUUAACCCGGAAAGGUCAGCCGAUACUGCGGGGCUAGAGUGCAGAAGGGGCAACUGGAAUUCUCGGUGUAGCGGUGAAAUGCGUAGAUAUCGAGAGGAACACCUGCGGCGAAGGCGGGUUGCUGGGCCGACACUGACGCUGAGGAGCGAAAGCCAGGGGAGCAAACGGG